rnacentral:rRNA from 1 species
AGUCGAACGGUGAAGCAGGAGCUUGCUCUUGUGGAUCAGUGGCGAACGGGUGAGUAACACGUGAGCAACCUGCCCCGAACUCUGGGAUAAGCGCUGGAAACGGCGUCUAAUACCGGAUACGCACCAGAGCGGCAUCGUUACUGGUGGGAAAGAUUUAUUGGUUCGGGAUGGGCUCGCGGCCUAUCAGCUUGUUGGUGAGGUAACGGCUCACCAAGGCGUCGACGGGUAGCCGGCCUGAGAGGGUGACCGGCCACACUGGGACUGAGACACGGCCCAGACUCCUACGGGAGGCAGCAGUGGGGAAUAUUGCACAAUGGGCGCAAGCCUGAUGCAGCAACGCCGCGUGAGGGAUGACGGCCUUCGGGUUGUAAACCUCUUUUAGCAGGGAAGAAGCGAAAGUGACGGUACCUGCAGAAAAAGCGCCGGCUAACUACGUGCCAGCAGCCGCGGUAAUACGUAGGGCGCAAGCGUUAUCCGGAAUUAUUGGGCGUAAAGAGCUCGUAGGCGGUCUGUCGCGUCUGCUGUGAAAACCCGAGGCUCAACCUCGGGCCUGCAGUGGGUACGGGCAGACUAGAGUGCGGUAGGGGAGAUUGGAAUUCCUGGUGUAGCGGUGGAAUGCGCAGAUAUCAGGAGGAACACCGAUGGCGAAGGCAGAUCUCUGGGCCGUAACUGACGCUGAGGAGCGAAAGGGUGGGGAGCAAACAGGCUUAGAUACCCUGGUAGUCCACCCCGUAAACGUUGGGAACUAGUUGUGGGGGCCUUUCCACGGUCUCCGUGACGCAGCUAACGCAUUAAGUUCCCCGCCUGGGGAGUACGGCCGCAAGGCUAAAACUCAAAGGAAUUGACGGGGACCCGCACAAGCGGCGGAGCAUGCGGAUUAAUUCGAUGCAACGCGAAGAACCUUA